CCAUAGAGAGUUUGAUCCUGGCUCAGAACGAACGCUAUCGGUAUGCUUAACACAUGCAAGUCGAACGGACUAAUUGGGGCUUGCUCCAAUUAGUUAGUGGCAGACGGGUGAGUAACACGUGGGAAUCUGCCCAUCAGUACGGAAUAACUUUUAGAAAUAAAAGCUAAUACCGUAUAUUCUCUACGGAGGAAAGAUUUAUCGCUGAUGGAUGAGCCCGCGUCAGAUUAGGUAGUUGGUGGGGUAAUGGCCUACCAAGCCUACGAUCUGUAGCUGGUCUGAGAGGAUGAUCAGCCACACUGGGACUGAGACACGGCCCAGACUCCUACGGGAGGCAGCC
rnacentral:rRNA from 1 species